UGGGGAAUAUUGCACAAUGGGCGCAAGCCUGAUGCAGCCAUGCCGCGUGUAUGAAGAAGGCCUUCGGGUUGUAAAGUACUUUCAGCGAGGAGGAAGGCGGUAAGGUUAAUAACCCUAUCGAUUGACGUUACUCGCAGAAGAAGCACCGGCUAACUCCGUGCCAGCAGCCGCGGUAAUACGGAGGGUGCAAGCGUUAAUCGGAAUUACUGGGCGUAAAGCGCACGCAGGCGGUCUGUCACGUCGGAUGUGAAAUCCCCGGGCUCAACCUGGGAACUGCAUUCGAAACUGGCAGGCUAGAGUCUUGUAGAGGGGGGUAGAAUUCCAGGUGUAGCGGUGAAAUGCGUAGAGAUCUGGAGGAAUACCGGUGGCGAAGGCGGCCCCCUGGACAAAGACUGACGCUCAGGUGCGAAAGCGUGGGGAGCAAACA
rnacentral:rRNA from 1 species